GAUGAAGAACGUAGUGAAAUGCGAUAAGUAGUGUGAAUUGCAGAAUUCAGUGAAUCAUCGAAUCUUUGAACGCACAUUGCGCCCCUUGGUAUUCCAUGGGGCAUGCCUGUUCGAGCGUCAUUUGUACCCUCAAGCUUUGCUUGGUGUUGGGUGUUUGUCCCGCGUUGCGCGUGGACUCGCCUUAAAGCGAUUGGCAGCCGGCAUAUUGGCCUUGGAGCGCAGCACAUUUUGCGCUUCUAGUCAUGAAUGUUGGCGUCCAUUAAGCCUAUACAUUUGCUCUUGACCUCGGAUCAGGUAGGGAUACCCGCUGAACUUAAGCAUAUCAAAAGCGGAGGA
rnacentral:misc_RNA from 1 species